UACGGGAGGCAGCAGUGAGGAAUAUUGGUCAAUGGGCGAGAGCCUGAACCAGCCAAGUAGCGUGCAGGAUGACGGCCCUAUGGGUUGUAAACUGCUUUUAUACGGGGAUAAAGUGAGGGACGUGUCCCUUUUUGUAGGUACUGUAUGAAUAAGGACCGGCUAAUUCCGUGCCAGCAGCCGCGGUAAU
rnacentral:rRNA from 1 species